rnacentral:lncRNA from 1 species
GCUUCCCUCUCCUGCUAAGCUUUGUUUCUUGGCAGUAAUUAAAACCUUCUGCCACUGCCAUAGCUACUGCUGCUGCUGGAACCACCAUAGCCACCUUGGUUUCAUUGUUUGGCAAAAUAUUGGCCUUCACCGCCAUAGUGGCCAGAGCUUCUGCAUCCAAAAUUUCUUCCUUUCAAGGGUCCAGAGUUUGAAGACUGAUUGUUAUAAUUGCCCAAAUCAUUAUAGUUUCCAUUGCUUCCAUCAUUACCAAAUCCAUUAUAGCUGUCUCAACUGCCACCAUAUCCACCACCACCUGGACUUCCACUAAAGCCACCAGCUCACUGAAGUUUCCUCCAUGACCAAAGUUGUCAUUCCCACCAAAACUACCUCCACAACCACCACCAAAGUUUCCAGAACCACUUCAACCUCUUUGUCUGGAUGAAGCACUAGCCACCUCUUGCUUAGAUAGGGCUUUUCUUACUUUGCAGUUGUGGCCAUUCACAGUAUGGUAUAUAUAUUUUGAGAGAGAGAGCACACAUGAGUGGGAGAGGAGAGAGAGAGAGGGCAUGUGCGAGCGUCGGGGAAGGGCAGAUAUAGAGAGAAAAAGAAAGAAUCCAAGAAGGCUCCACACUGUCAGUGCAGAGCCUAACACAGGGCUCCAACUCACAAACCAUGAGAUCAUGACCUGAGCUGAAAUCAAGAGUUGGAUGCUUAACCCACUGAGCCACCCAGGCGCCCCAAAGUGUGUUACUUUUGAAAGACAAUCUUGUCUACGGAGUUAUAGUCAUCAAAUGUUACAAAAGCAAAACUGUUCUUGGCACUGCCUUGGUCAGUCAUGAUGUCAGUCACUUCAGUUUUCACAUACUAUUCAAAAUCUCUUAGAUGGUGUUCUUCAUCACCAUCUAAGAAGAUGGUGUCUUCUCUAUUACCACCAACAAAAAUCUUUUUCACAAUUAAGUGGGCACCAGGUCUUUGAGAAUCUUCUCUUGAGGCAGCCCUCUUUGGUUCCACAACUCUUCCAUCCACUUUGUGUGGCCUUGCAUUUGUGGCUGCAUCCACCAUAGUGGCGUAUGUGACAAACUCAAAGGGUCUGCAGUGCUUGGUGUUUGGAUCUCUGAUUACCACACAAUCCAUAAACAUUCCCCAUUGUUCAAAAUAGCCCCUUACACUCUCAUUGGUUGUUUCAAAGCUCAAACCCCUGAUAAAGAGCUUCUGCAGCUGUUCAGGCUCUUUGGGAGCCUCUGACUUAGACAUGAUGGUGGUAGGAGGGGAGACUUUAAUGAUGGUUACUCGGUGGCAUCCAGGGGUGGAAAG